rnacentral:rRNA from 1 species
CAAGCGUUGUUCGGAAUUACUGGGCGUAAAGGGCUCGUAGGCGGCCAACUAAGUCAGACGUGAAAUCCCUCGGCUUAACCGGGGAACUGCGUCUGAUACUGGAUGGCUAGAGUGUGGGAGAGGGAUGCGGAAUUCCAGGUGUAGCGGUGAAAUGCGUAGAUAUCUGGAGGAACACCGGUGGCGAAGGCGGCAUCCUGGGCCACGACUGACGCUGAGUGAGCGAAAGCCAGGGGAGCAAACGGG